rnacentral:tRNA from 1 species
AAGAAAGUCGUAAUGGAUGCGUGGUUGGCUUGAAACCAAUUAUUGGGGGUUCGAUUCCUUCCUUUCUUG